GAUGAACGCUGGCGGCGUGCCUAAUACAUGCAAGUCGAGCGAACGGACGAGAAGCUUGCUUCUCUGAUGUUAGCGGCGGACGGGCGAGUAACACGUGGAUAACCUACCUAUAAGACUGGGAUAACUUCGGGAAACCGGAGCUAAUAACGGAUAAUAUUAUGAACCGCAUGGUUCAAAAGUGAAAGACGGUCUUGCUGUCACUUAUAGAUGGAUCCGCGCUGCAUUAGCUAGUUGGUAAGGUAACGGCUUACCAAGGCAACGAUGCAUAGCUGACCUGAGAGGAUGAUCAGCCACACUGGAACUGAGACACGGUCCAGACUCCUACGGGAGGCAGCAGUAGGGAAUCUUCCGCAAUGGGCGAAAGCCUGACGGAGCAACGCCGCGUGAGUGAUGAAGGUCUUCGGAUCGUAAAACUCUUUUAUUAGGGAAGAACAUAUGUGUAAGUAUCUGUGCACAUCUUGACGGUACCUAAUCAGAAAGCCACGGCUAACUUCGUG
rnacentral:rRNA from 1 species